UGUUCCAAAACGUUGGAACCAAUCAGAUUAUUAUUUACUUUGUAAGCGUUGGUUUGAUUCGAUGGGGGUGUGUCUUUUAAAUGUAUGACGAGUAGCCUCUGUAUGAAGCAUAGAUCUCCUAUGUGAAGGCAUGGAAAGUGUAUUAUGGCGACUCGUUGGCGGUAACAACAAAACAUAUUUUGUGGAGAAUUUCAAUGAUAAACAUCCAGUAUCUGCUAUUAUUUGUUUGGCUGUUGUUAAUAAUGUCAUUGUAUCGACUGGUUCAGUACAGAUGAAGUCCAUGUUUGUUCAAAAUGAGCAUGUGACAAAGACGUACACAGAUAUACUUCUUGGCAUGCAGUUUAAUGAGGCAGACAACACGCCAGAUCAGGCUCCAGAUGAUAAUAUUGUCUCAAUACCAUACUCUUCUGUGCUGGAAACCAAUGUCUAUGAUUUGGAUGUUGGCAUCAUGAGAUCGCUGAUAUCCCAAGCAGCUGGACCAAUGACUUCUCUAUCUAUAUAUAAAUGGUACCGAAGAAGAAUGCGUAGAAACUGUCAACCAUGAUCCAAUAGAGCCUCAGGAAACAGGAGAAGGGGACAAGGUAGUGCAGGAGACUGAUGAAGAAUAAGUGGGCGUAAUAGUUCAAGAGACAGGACAGGAGAAAGGGCAAGAGCCAGAGGGGGAAACACACGUUAGAUAUGAAGAUAAUUCAAUACAUGUGUUUUUUAUGUCUGUUUAGGUUUAGGAACUUUUAAUUAUUCAUAUAUAAUUAAAGUCAUUCAUUGUAUAUAUUAAAACAAAAUAUGUUGUAUAAUUGCCAAUGGCAAUGAUACAACUUUCAACCAGAGACCAAAUGAUAUAGAAGUUAACAACUAUAGUUCACUGUUCAGCCUGCAACAAUGAGCAAAACCCAUGCCACUUAUCUAGCCAUGAAAGUCCUGAAAUGACAAAUGAUAAACAAAUAAAAUCUGAAAACUAACAGUUUGAUUCGUGUACAAAAUAAUAUACAAAUAUGAUAACAGAAGACAACCAAUGAAUUACACUGGAUUUAGUGUAAAUAAAUCAUUAACAGUCAUUAACAUUUAGAGAAAAACAUGACCUUAUGAAAUAACAAGAUACAGGUAUCAACAGAUGUGUGUAUAUAUUUAGUAUGAUUUUAAUUUACUGAUAGAAUAUUCAAUAUUUAUUCAAAUAUAAACAAUAUUUAAAGAUCUAAUUACAGUGUUAAAUUUUUAUUCUUUUAGAAUAAGUUUAUUUAAUGAUUGAUAACUUUACCCAGAGCAUACCUAAAUUUUUAAAGCUCGGUAAACAACAUGAUAUAGAAAAUCAAUAUUAUUUUUAAAGAAGUCUUUAACUUUUACAGCAACAGGAGAUAUUAAAUAUUAUUUUUUAUAAUGUUUUUGUUUUUUUUACCAAAUAUGUGGGUUUUUUUUAAAUAAAAGUAGAUGCACUGAAAACAUUUUAAGAUUGAAGUGUAUUUUAUAGGUGAAAAGAGAAAGAAUACACUCAAUUUUCAUGGAAGAGAAGAAUCCAAAGAGAAAACUGACCCGUGGGUUAAAUCAACCCUGCAGCAGGUGAAUGCAGCCUCAACAGCAGAGGAGGUAGAGUAUGGAUGCCGAAAAGAGCUGGUCUCGACUAUUCAAUAUCCAUACAGGGACGGAACAUUGAAUACUACACAAAUUUGCAGGUUAAAGACAUGGAUAUGGAUUUCAAUAUGAUAGUCAACAAUGUGGAACAAAUGCAUAGCCUGAAAAAAGAGGUGUUUUCCAGAGAAGCUAAUGGGAAACUCAGAUGGGCUCUUAGAAGUGGUCGGUUUGGUCCAUUUACAGAAGAGUUUGUUUUGAUACAAGUUCUAUGUAAAAAAGAAGAAGUAAGUUCUAUGUAAAAAAGAAGAAGUAAACAGGCUGGUGGCUGAACUGGUUCUUCUAAGACAUAAAUCAUGCUGACCACUGUAUAUCAUUUCAUGUUGACCACUGCAUAUCAUUGUUACAUCCAUUUUCAUUUUUAUUUUUUAUCUUCAAAAAACUUUUAUCUGUAGAUAUUUGUAGCAAAACAUAUUGACUAAACCUAUAUUUAAAGUGACAGUCCAUAUAUUUGAAUUUGUUUUAUGAUUUAUAAUCUCUUAUAUCAACUUUUUUAUUCGAAAAUAUUAAUCCUUAGCUGAAAAUGUCACUCAAAUUUAUCACACAAAACCUUUUUUGGAACCCAAUAAUCAUUAUAAUUGAUAACAUAUAUAUAUGACUUAUUUUUUCAUUAUAUUAUAAUUGAAAAAUAUAAUUGUUAAAACUCUUAACUAUAAAAUUAUGUAAUUAUCUAAAUGCAGCAUGGAAAAUGAGAUGUCAAAUUAUUACUUAAGGUAGAUCAUAGGUAUAUAUUUCCUCAGAUAGAAUUUUUUUAUACUUUGCCAAAGUAAAGAUUUUUCUAUGCUUUUUCCAAAACUAUAAUAAAAAGUAUGGGUCACCGUGCUUAUUUUCAAGCUACGGGUUGUACGAAAUUGCACAAAUUUGCUUAGAUUGUUUAUGAAAAAACACAUUUUUGUGCUUAAAAAGAAAUCUAUGAGAUAGAAUUUUGAAAUAUGAUAUGAGAAGAUAGGUUUUAUAAUAUGCUUUAAGAAAAUAAAAAGAAAAAAUGGUGUCACCGAAAUUGUUUUCUUGCUACAAGUAAAAAAUUAAAAUUUCCCUAUCAGUCCAGUAUAAAUUUUUUAAUAAAAGAGUUAUCUCCCCUUAAAUGGCCAAGCUGAAAAAUGAUUCUAAAAACACAAUUAUUUGGUAUUUAUUUAAACAUUUUUAAUAAUGCAAUAAAACACCAAGUUUUCUUUCAUUAAAUAAACAGUCUAACCUAUAAAUUGCCUAUCUGUCUCCAAAUUUGCAGAUUUGGGCAAAGAUCUAGACCGAUUGUGUACUGCGAUUGUACAAUCCAAGAUGGCGGUAUACCAUGAAUCUACCUUAACAUUGUAUCAUUUGUGUUGUUUUCUGCUGUUUAUUAUUGUGUCAUAUAUGUAAUAUAUGUUUUGGUUGCAAUAGCAUGUAAAUUUAUUUCUGCAAAUAAACUCAUUUCAUUUAUUGAUUCAUAUUCAAUUAUAUAAAUUUUCAAGGCUUGAAAGAGUCAGAUUUUACCAUGAAUAAUACAGAAAUUAUGUUUUUUCUACAAUCAUUGAAGUAGUUGAAAUUGACAUUGAUAUCUCAUUUAUAUUGAUCACAUAUUAUACAAUGUGUGUUAUAUCAUAUAAGUACACACUAAUGUUUUAUUAAAUAACUAGUUAUUUACAUAUGCUAUAUUGCUAUUCAAAUUUGUUUUAUUACUAUUGAUAAACAUCACAACCAUAGACCCUAUUACUGUUAUUCCUAAUAGGAAUCCAUCUACUACAUUAACAAAAGAAAAUUUGUUGGAAAUGUUUAAAUCAAUUUUUUCCAUCAAACCGGAUUAAUUUUAUCUAAUUUAUUAUAUUUCUUUGUAAAAUAUUGAAUUUUAAGUUUAGGACUGUUAGGCAUGUAUAAAAAUUUUUUUUUAUAAUUAUGAAUAAAUAUUUUUUAAAUUUA